rnacentral:lncRNA from 1 species
CCUCCCAAAAUAUCAUCAAAAUCUCCCACCAAGGCAUUCGUUCGGCGCAUCAAAUACAGAAACUUUGUGAACCAUAGGAAACCAAAUUAAUUGGCGAGCAACAAGAAAAUUCCCAUGAAUUCACUAUUUUUUUCGAAUUUAGGUUUUCUUUUUUUGUUUUAUUAUCUGAGAGGGCCCUUUGAUCAAAGUAUCAACCCUCUGUAUGUGUUGGUGAAACUGUGUGUUGUUUUCUGUUCUUUUAAAUGAUUUGGGUAAAACGAUGAUCG